AUCCUGUUGAAGAGUCCCGAAUAGGACGAAACGCGCGUCCUGGAU
rnacentral:hammerhead_ribozyme from 1 species